UUUUGUUUUAAGAUUCCGUUCAGGAUACCACAUUGCAUUUAGUCCUCAUGUCUCCUUAAGCAGCUCUUGCCUGUGAUAGUUUUCCCUACUCUCCUUGUUUUUGAUGACCUUGACAGUUUUGAGGAGUAUUGGAAAUCACUAUGCCCAGCCCACACUUAUGGAGUGAGGAGUCAUGCUCCAUCUCCUUUACAGAAGAAUGUGUACAUAGCCACAAGAACACCUGUCUUCGAUCUUCAGAUGGAAUCCCUUGUUCCUAAAUGGUAUGGUACCUGGGUGAUGAAACCCCCCAAAGUGUGUGUUGGGGGGUUAGGAGUCCAAGACUACAGCCCCAAGUAUCUCACUUUGAUGCUACUCUAUGUUCCAGCAAUUUAUCAAAAUUUCCAGUUAAGUACUCCUAGUAACUUGUUUCUAGUGGGUACUUCCACUCUAGAUAAGCAUAUCUAGAUAAGCACUCAACUUGUCCAUCUCUCUAGGUUGGGUGGUGGUUUGCCCUACAAUGUUAGUUCUCUGGUGGGUGUCAGAAAAGUUGUUGAUUUUCAGUUAGUUCAACUUUUUUCUUAUUGUAAGGACAGAGUGACAACUCCUAAGCUUUUUUACAUGUCAGAGUUAAAACCAGAAGUAAAGCAUUUUAUUUUUCAGGCAUAAGUACAAGUGAAACAUUAGGUCACCGUUAGCAAAUUGCGAUAGUAUAUGAUAUAUUGAUGGCUGGGGGAAGUGACAAAAUGAGGAUCAUCAUCAUCGUCAUCAUCAUCAAAACUCUGCAAAGGAAGGAACUAUAAUAUGACUCUUUUCUAAAUUAUCAUGAAAUGAUGAGUUGGGGAAAAUAAGUUAGAAUAGCUCUAUUUGUGUCAUCUCAUCUUUUCUCAAAUAAGAAGCCCUCACCUCCUGUAAAGGAAGACUUCUGAAAAGAAAUGUCAAUCAAUACCUGCAUAAAAGCAGUUCCUCCAGCCAAAGGAAUUUUAUAAAAGCAUUUGUAUAUUUUCUAUGAAUGUAAAAAUUAUUCUCCUUCUUGAAUGUACAGUUUUGUAAAGAAUAAAAGUG